rnacentral:rRNA from 1 species
GAGAAGAAACUAACCAGGAUUUCCCUAGUAACGGCGAGCGAACCGGAAAGAGCCCAGCUUGAAAAUCGUGGUGCCUCGCAUCUCGAGUUGUAGUCUGGAGAAGGUCCCUCUGCGACGCGCCGGACCCAAGUUCCCUGGAAAGGGACGUCAUCGAGGGUGACAACCCCGUCCGCGCCCGGAACGCGUCGCUCCACGAGGACCUGUCUGCGAGUCGGGCUGUUUGGGAAUGCAGCCCUAAGCGGGAGGUAAAUUCCUUCCAAGGCUAAAUAUGGGCAAGAGACCGAUAGCGAACAAGUACCGCGAGGGAAAGAUGAAAAGGACUUUGAAAAGAGAGUUAAAAAGUGCUUGAAAUUGCUGGGAGGGAAGCGAAUGGAAGCUGCGGGUGCGCCCCGGUUGGAUGUGGAACGGCUUCGGCUGGUCCGCCGCUCAACGCGGGGCGCUGGUCAGCGUGGGCCACGGCGCCGGGACAAGAGCGGGGAUUCGCUUCCCGCCUAUGCCGGUGCGGUGGCCGAGGCACGAAGCGCGCGCCGCAAGGCGUGGGUUCGCCCAACUGCGCGCUCGGGACGCUGGCGUAUUGAGCUMUUCAUCCGACCCGUCUUGAAACACGGACCAAGGAGUCUAACAUGUAUGCGAGCCGGUGGGCGGCAAACCCAUUGAGGCGCAAGUAAACUGACAGGUGGGACCCCGMCCGUGAGGGAGGGAGCACCAUCGMCCGMCCGUGAUCUUCUGUGAAAGGUUUGAGUGUGAGCAUACCUGUUGGGACCCGAAAGAUGGUGAACUAUGCCUGAGCAGGGCGAAGCCAGAGGAAACUCUGGUGGAGGCUCGUAGCGAUACUGACGUGCAAAUCGUUCGUCAGACUUGGGUAUAGGGGCGAAAGACUAAUCGAACCAUCUAGUAGCUGGUUCCCUCCGAAGUUUCCCUCAGGAUAGCUGGAGCUCGUGUACAAGUUUUAUCAGGUAAAGCGAAUGAUUAGAGGCAUCGGGGGUGUAACACCCUCGACCUAUUCUCAAACUUUAAAUAGGUAAGCCGCCGGGGUUGCUUGGUUGAACCCCGGCACAGAAUGAGAGCUCCAAGUGGGCCAU